rnacentral:tRNA from 1 species
UGGCUGUUAGUUCAGUGGGAAGAACAUCUAUUGCAAGAGAGGGUCACAGGUUCGAGUCCUGUACAGUCAA